UACGUAGGGGGCAAGCGUUGUCCGGAUUUAUUGGGCGUAAAGAGCGUGUAGGCGGCUUGGCAAGUCCGUUGUGAAAACUCGAGGCUCAACCUCGAGACGUCGAUGGAAGCUGCCUCGCUAGAGUCCGGAAGAGGAGAGUGGAAUUCCUGGUGUAGCGGUGAAAUGCGCAGAUAUCAGGAAGAACACCCGUGGCUAAGGCGGCUCUCUAGUACGGUACUGACGCUGAGACGCGAAAGCGUGGGGAGCGAACAGG
rnacentral:rRNA from 1 species